rnacentral:rRNA from 1 species
UACGGAGGGGGCUAGCGUUGUUCGGAAUUACUGGGCGUAAAGCGCACGUAGGCGGCUUUGCAAGUUAGAGGUGAAAGCCCGGGGCUCAACUCCGGAAUUGCCUUCGAUACUGGAGAGCUCGAGUCCGGGAGAGGUGAGUGGAACUGCGAGUGUAGAGGUGAAAUUCGUAGAUAUUCGCAAGAACACCAGUGGCGAAGGCGGCUCACUGGCCCGGUACUGACGCUGAGGUGCGAAAGCGUGGGGAGCAAACAGG